AAGUCGUAACAAGGUUUCCGUAGGUGAACCUGCGGAAGGAUCAUUACCUUUCAAUGCAGCAGAAUUGGGAUGGUUGAGUAUCUCGCCUCUCAGUUCUGCCUGUAUUCUACCCUUGUUUGUCAUAUACUAUUAUUUCCUCGGCAGGCUUGCCUGCCGGGUGAAACCAUUUAUAACCUUUUUAAUUUUCAAUCAGCGUCUGAAAAAAUUAAUAAUUACAACUUUCAACAACGGAUCUCUUGGUUCUG
rnacentral:misc_RNA from 1 species